UACGAGGGGUCCUAGCGUUGUUCGGAAUCACUGGGCGUAAAGCGUAUGUAGGCGGGCUUCUAAGUCAGAUGUGAAAUCCCAUGGCUCAACCAUGGAAUUGCAUUUGAAACUGGAGGUCUUGAGUGUGGGAGAGAUUGGUAGAAUACCUAGUGUAGUGGUGAAAUACGUAGAUAUUAGGUGGAAUACCGGAGGCGAAGGCGCAAGUGGCCAAC
rnacentral:rRNA from 1 species